rnacentral:tRNA from 1 species
GACUUUUUAACUAUUAUUAAGUAUAUAUUUUGAAAAUAUAAAAAAGAAUUUAUUUCUAAAAGUCU